UACGUAGGGCGCAAGCGUUGUCCGGAAUUAUUGGGCGUAAAGAGCUCGUAGGCGGUUUGUCGCGUCUGCUGUGAAAACCUAAGGCUCAACCUUGGGCUUGCAGUGGGUACGGGCAGACUAGAGUGCGGUAGGGGUGACUGGAAUUCCUGGUGUAGCGGUGGAAUGCGCAGAUAUCAGGAGGAACACCGGUGGCGAAGGCGGGUCUCUGGGGCCGAUACUGACGCUGAGGAGCGAAAGCGUGGGGAGCG
rnacentral:rRNA from 1 species